rnacentral:rRNA from 1 species
GACGAACGCUGGCGGCGUGCUUAACACAUGCAAGUCGAACGAAGUGGCGAACGGGUGAGUAACGCGUAAUCAACCUGCCCUUCAGAGGGGGACAACAGUUGGAAACGACUGCUAAUACCGCAUACUGAAGGAGGGGAUUGCGUCUGAUUAGCUAGUUGGAGGGGGAACGGCCCACAAAGGCGAUGAUCAGUAGCAGUUCUGAGAGGAGGAACGGCCAAAGUGGGACUGGGGCACGGCCCAGACUCCGUCUGGAGGUAGCAGUGGGGAAUCUGCCGCAAUGGACGAAAGUCUGACGGAGCAACGCCGCGUGAGUGAUGACGGCCUUCGGGUUGUAAAGCUCUGUUAAUCGGGACGCGGUACCGGAAUAGAAAGCCACGGCUAACUACGUGCCAGCAGCCGCGGUAAUUC